GCAUAAUCAUUUGUUUUUUAAUUGGAAACUGGUAUGAAAGGUAGAGAUUUUAAAGGGUAGUUUUAUUUUAUGACUUUGAAAUUUAAUUAAAAGUAAAAAUGCUUUUUUGAAUCUUAGGGACGAGAAGACCCUAGAAGCUUNGAAAUUUUUUGAAAUUUUUAAUUGGGGUAAUUAAUGAAGAUAUAAUUUUUAUAAAAUUAAAAUAAUAUUAAUGAAGUUACUUUAGGGAUAACAGCGUAAUUUAAUUAGCGAGUUCUUAUUAAUAAUUAGGAUUGCGACCUCGAUGUUGAAUUAAAA
rnacentral:rRNA from 1 species